AUCUCUAUAAGAAUCAUGAUGUUUCCAAGGCAACACAUGGCUUGGGGAAAUUGGAGAGAAUACUCCCGAUGCAAAGGGAUAACAUCACAGCUACCAUGACAGACAAUGCUAUCCAGCUCAAAAGUGUCAGGCGCUCAGAGGGACCAAGGGAUCUUGAUUACAAUCUGGAAGGCAUGAGUUUCAGAGUGGAAUAAUCAUGCUUGUGUUCAGUACGUUUGCAAACCCCCCUGGACAGUGCCGUGACAGGAGCGCGGUUAAAACAGUGCGCAGGACUUGCCUCCUGUUUGUUCAGGCUUGCAUGAUAUGCUACCCUUCCGGGAAGGAGGCAGGAAGGGGACUCUGGCUUUUGGAUGACAUGGGGGAAAUCUGUGGAUCCAAGAGAAGGCAAAUGGCCCUUCUGGCCCAGCCCACCGUCUUCUGCAGAUCCUCCAGUACCUUCCACCACCCACCGGGCAUGUCCACCAAAGAAUCCCUGUGGCCAGAUGGUGGCCUAGGUAAAGACCAGGGAUAUGGCAAAGGACAGCCGCAGAAAAAGAUAAGAAGAAAGACGGUAGAAACUGGCGUGGAACUUUCAAAGGCUCAUCAUAGAAGUCAAUCUAACCACCCACUGUGGAACGUAGUGAUGUCUACCUUGGAAGGCCACAUUAGAACUUCCUCUGUCCUCAGCUCCACCCUGGCUCAGAGAUGGAGCCUGACCCCAGGAAGAGCACUUUCAAGAACAUUUGAAACUUCUGGGGUGGGAUCAGUGGUGUUGACACCAGGGUCACCUUGCUGUCAAUACUGCUCUGAUUCUAAGAACUCUACUAAAACCACACUUCUGAAUCCAGCCUGUCUCUCAGAAAUGGGCUGCUGCUUCAGGAAAUGCCCUCUCCCCUGGUUCACUGCUACCAGUGUCUGCGCUCCCCACCUGGAAGGGGACAUCAAAGCCUACCAACAGAGCCACAUGUAUGAGGCUAGCACAGGUCCUAGCUGUGAGCCAACCCCAUUUCUUAAUUCAAUUGCUUUCUUGGAAUUACUGUGCUUCUUAAAAAAUACAUUAAAGCAUAAAGGAGAAAAAAGAUCCCUCUACAUUCCUUUCUUGGCUCAUUUUUCCCUACUGCACUUCUUACUGUCUAACACUGUCUA
rnacentral:lncRNA from 1 species